rnacentral:rRNA from 1 species
AGAGUUUGAUCAUGGCUCAGAUUGAACGCUGGCGGCAGGCCUAACACAUGCAAGUCGAGCGGAUGAAGGGAGCUUGCUCCCUGAUUUAGCGGCGGACGGGUGAGUAAUGCCUAGGAAUCUGCCUGGUAGUGGGGGACAACGUUUCGAAAGGAACGCUAAUACCGCAUACGUCCUACGGGAGAAAGUGGGGGAUCUUCGGACCUCACGCUAUCAGAUGAGCCUAGGUCGGAUUAGCUAGUUGGUGAGGUAAAGGCUCACCAAGGCGACGAUCCGUAACUGGUCUGAGAGGAUGAUCAGUCACACUGGAACUGAGACACGGUCCAGACUCCUACGGGAGGCAGCAGUGGGGAAUAUUGGACAAUGGGCGAAAGCCUGAUCCAGCCAUGCCGCGUGUGUGAAGAAGGUCUUCGGAUUGUAAAGCACUUUAAGUUGGGAAAGAAAUCCAGCCGGCUAAUACCUGGUUGGGAUGACGGUACCCAAAGAAUAAGCACCGGCUAACUUCGUGCCAGCAGCCGCGGUAAUACGAAGGGUGCAAGCGUUACUCGGAAUUACUGGGCGUAAAGCGUGCGUAGGUGGUUAUUUAAGUCCGUUGUGAAAGCCCUGGGCUCAACCUGGGAACUGCAGUGGAUACUGGAUGACUAGAAUGUGGUAGAGGGUAGCGGAAUUCCUGGUGUAGCAGUGAAAUGCGUAGAGAUCAGGAGGAACAUCCAUGGCGAAGGCAGCUACCUGGACCAACAUUGACACUGAGGCACGAAAGCGUGGGGAGCAAACAGGAUUAGAUACCCUGGUAGUCCAA